AGCUAAUAGAUACCCUGGUAGUCCACGCCGUAAACGAUGAAUGUUAGCCGUCGGGCAGUUUACUGUUCGGUGGCGCAGCUAAACGCAUUAAACAUUCCGCCUGGGGAGUACGGUCGCAAGAUUAAAAACUCAAAGGAAUUGACGGGGGCCCGCACAAGCGGUGGAGCAUGUGGUUUAAAUUCGAAGCAACGCGCAGAACCUUACCAGCCCUUGACAUCCCGAUCGCGGAUUACGGAGACGUUUUCCUUCAGUUCGGCUGGAUCGGAGACAGGUGCUGCAUGGCUGUCGUCAGCUCGUGUCGUGAGAAGUUGGGUUAAGUCCCGCAACGAGCGCAACCCUCGCCCUUAGUUGCCAGCAUUUAGUUGGGCACUCUAAGGGGACUGCCGGUGAUAAGCCGAGAGGAAGGUGGGGAUGACGUCAAGUCCUCAUGGCCCUUACGGGCUGGGCUACACACGUGCUACAAUGGUGGUGACAGUGGGCAGCGAGACCGCGAGGUCGAGCUAAUCUCCAAAAGCCAUCUCAGUUCGGAUUGCAC
rnacentral:rRNA from 1 species